rnacentral:rRNA from 1 species
CCUACGGGUGGCUGCAGUAACGAAUAUUCCGCAAUGCGCGAAAGCGUGACGGAGCAAUGCCGCGUGCAGGAUGAAGCGGUUUGCCGUGUAAACUGCUGUCAGGGAUUGUCAUCCCAGAGGAAGGGGCGACUAACUCUGUGCCAGCAGUCGCGGUAAUACAGAGGCCCCGAGCGUUAAUCGGAAUCACUGGGCUUAAAGGGUGCGUAGGCGGGUCAGUAAGCGCUUUGUGAAAUCCCACAGCUCAACUGUGGAACCGCAGGGCGAACUGCUGAUCUUGAGGAAGCUAGAGGCUGGUAGAACGAUAGGUGGAGCGGUGGAAUGCGUAGAGAUCUAUCGGAAUGCCGAAAGUGAAGACAGCCAGCUGGGCUUCCUGACGCUAAAGCACGAAAGCGUGGGGAGCAAACCGGAUUAGAUACCCUUGUAGUC